rnacentral:lncRNA from 1 species
AUGCAUAUUUUUCUAAACCAAAAUACUGCUUAUUUGCAGGGUGUAUAUUUUGAAGUAAUGACUGGUCAAAGAGGAGGAGUAUCAGUGCAUUUCAAGGAGCAAAGUGUGAGAGAUUUUCAGCUUGAUCUCAGGAAGUGCUGCAACACGGACAUGAAAGAAACCUGGUGUUCUCCUGGCCCAGACUCCUCAUCUGAAUGCAACCAGUGGGCUCUGCACUUGUAAAAUAUUACUAUCUUCCUUAGCAGGCAGUAUGAGUGCAGUUUUGCUACUUACCCAUAUGGGACAAAGGUUGCAAAAAUUCAACUUGUCAUCACGGCAGAAGGUAAGUGGUUAUAAAAAAAAAUGCGUUUCUUUUUCAUAAAAGUAGAAAGAGAAAGGAGAACCGGGAUAGACAAAAUUUUGUUGGUCAGUGUCAGUGGCUUUUUUUGAGGUUUGCAAGGGUGUCACUGAAUGCUGUCGCAGGCUCUCAUUAGCUGUUAACCAGCUCAUAAUUAGGAAAUCUCUUUUUUUUUUUUUUUUUUGGAGAAAUAUGAAGUAAGAUUGAAAUGCACAAAAGGUGGUCAGGUGAACAGUGUCUACAUUUUCAUUUUGGAAAAACAUGAUGGGGAGAAGCCUGGGCAAGUUGUUUGAGGUAUGGUGGGACCAAAGCCAUCAGCUUUUCAAACAAUGUGGUGCCUCUGCCAUGCAUGUGCUGCACUGAGAACUGAGAAGAGAAAACGCCCUUGUCUGGUUGAGGCUGAGAACUGGACUUUGCGAAGCAGAACGUCAUUUAAGACGCCCCCAGGGCCAGAGACUUGGCUUCUUUUGUCAGACAAAAGGAAGCUGAAAAGCAGCAUUAAGUAAGCCCUAGGGGAGAAUGUGAACAGGGACGAUAUUUAAACAUGCUUGUAAAGGAGCAAAUGGUUUUAAGUAGGACAUGAGUGGAUUUAGCUACAAAUUAAACAACAGUUGUGUCCUCUGGCCAGCAGUGAGGGCAAAGAGUCUGAAUCGAUAAGAAGAUAGAGCUGGGCAAAGACGUUGGCUGGACUGGGCAAUCUUGUGUCAGUGCUCAAGAGGGGCUGGAUUUGAUGACCGCAGAAACUUCUUUCAGGCCCAGGUUUCUGUUAGCAAGCUGAGAAGAAUUAAACUGAUGCAAAAAAAACUUGGCAACGUUUCAGUUCAGAGUUGCAAAGCGAGCAUGCUCACCUGCUGCUGCCUGGGGCUGUACCCAGCGUACUUUCAAGGGCUGAGAGUAGGGCAGGUGCAGGAGAAGUUAGAGGUAGCAGAGGGAAGCAGUGCCCAUGGGUGCAGUUCUAUCCUUUGUGCAAUUUUUUUUUUUUUUUGCAUCUCAUAUAACUAAUAUAGUAAUAGUGAUAAUCAAGCACUGAUUGUCUUUCCUUGCCCAUGUUUAAUAC